rnacentral:rRNA from 1 species
GUCGAACGGUAACAGGCCGUAUGGGAUCCCUUCGGGGUGACCUUGGCGCUGACGAGUGGCGGACGGGUGAGUAAUACUUAGGAAUCUGCCCAAUAGUGGGGGACAACUCGAGGAAACUCGAGCUAAUACCGCAUACGCCCUACGGGGGAAAGCGGGGGAUCUUCGGACCUCGCGCUAUUGGAUGAGCCUAAGUCGGAUUAGCUUGUUGGUAGGGUAAAGGCCUACCAAGGCGACGAUCCGUAGCUGGUCUGAGAGGACGAUCAGCCACACUGGGACUGAGACACGGCCCAGACUCCUACGGGAGGCAGCAGUGGGGAAUAUUGGACAAUGGGCGCAAGCCUGAUCCAGCAAUGCCGCGUGUGUGAAGAAGGCCUGCGGGUUGUAAAGCACUUUCAGUAGAGAAGAAAAGCUUACGGUUAAUACCUGUGAGUCUUGACGUAACCUACAGAAGAAG